ACGAACGCUGGCGGCGUGCUUAACCCAUGCACGUCGAACGGAAAGGCCCUGCUUUUGUGGGGUGCUCGAGUGGCGAACGGGUGAGUAACACGUGAGUAACCUGCCCUUGACUUUGGGAUAACUUCAGGAAACUGGGGCUAAUACCGGAUAGGAGCUCCUGCUGCAUGGUGGGGGUUGGAAAGUUUCGGCGGUUGGGGAUGGACUCGCGGCUUAUCAGCUUGUUGGUGGGGUAGUGGCUUACCAAGGCUUUGACGGGUAGCCGGCCUGAGAGGGUGACCGGCCACAUUGGGACUGAGAUGCGGCCCAGACUCCUACGGGAGGCAGCAGUGGGGAAUAUUGCACAAUGGGCGGAAGCCUGAUGCAGCAACGCCGCGUGCGGGAUGACGGCCUUCGGGUUGUAAACCGCUUUCGCCUGUGACGAAGCGUGAGUGACGGUAAUGGGUAAAGAAGCACCGGCUAACUACGUG
rnacentral:rRNA from 1 species